rnacentral:piRNA from 1 species
UGGGAUGGCAUAAUGUUUCUAGCAACCUCC